rnacentral:rRNA from 1 species
AUUGAACGCUGGCGGCAGGCCUAACACAUGCAAGUCGAACGGUAACAGGGAGAAGCUUGCUUCUUUGCUGACGAGUGGCGGACGGGUGAGUAAUGUCUGGGAAACUGCCUGAUGGAGGGGGAUAACUACUGGAAACGGUAGCUAAUACCGCAUAACGUCGCAAGACCAAAAAGGGGGACCUUCGGGCCUCUUGCCAUCGGAUGUGCCCAGAUGGGAUUAGCUAGUAGGUGGGGUAACGGCUCACCUAGGCGACGAUCCCUAGCUGGUCUGAGAGGAUGACCAGCCACACUGGAACUGAGACACGGUCCAGACUCCUACGGGAGGCAGCAGUGGGGAAUAUUGCACAAUGGGCGCAAGCCUGAUGCAGCCAUGCCGCGUGUAUGAAGAAGGCCUUCGGGUUGUAAAGUACUUUCAGCGGGGAGGAAGGGAGUAAAGUUAAUACCUUUGCUCAUUGACGUUACCCGCAGAAGAAGCACCGGCUAACUCCGUG